CGAGGAAGACUAAAAAAGUUUAAGAAGAUGAAAUACGGACUUCGUGGAAUGACAUGAGCUUUUCGAAACGCAAACGCCGAUAAUAUUGUUGGGAGAUGAAUACCGGUAAUGUUGCUUCCGUUGACUGUUGGAUUUCUUAUCACGUGAUAAUUUGUAAAUAAUAACAAAACACAUCAUUAUCAAAAUCAAAAUUCACAAGCGGGAGAACUUUCGUUUUUCAUAUAAUUUAAUAAUUCUUCUCUGUAUUAAGUCAGUUUAAAGUUUUGUGCAAUCGCUCUUCAUCUGAUUCUGAAUGAUGUACCGGAACAAGCAGAAACUGAUCUUAGCAUUAGCUCUCCUCUCUGUAUUUACAGUUUUGAAUUUCACAUUUUAUCAUCAUUAUGGUAAUCAUGGCACAGCAGCAGAUCAGUUCGAGGGUUUUGAUCAUAUCAAUGGGAGCUUAGCAGCGAUAGUUCCAAACACUGUGCAUUACAUUUUGUUCGGGACAGAUUCCUUGAAUUUUAUUUCAUUUCUUUCAAUGACAUCUGUUUUGAAGAUACAAAAUCCCGAUUCAAUCCUCAUUCACACUGACAGGGACCGUCUUCAAGGAUACUACUGGGAUUUGGUUCAAAAUUUAGCGAAGCUCAAAAAAACUCAAAUUCAAUUGGCUCUCAUUGAGAGACCAACACAUGUCUUUGGUCAACCUCUCAGCUCAGUAUAUCAUAUGACAGAUGUGUCACGUAUUCUUGUUUUAAUGAAUUUUGGUGGCAUAUACCUCGACACAGACACAAUAGUCCUCCGGUCCUUGAACCCCCUUUUAAAGUAUGAAAUGGUUGUUGGCUGGCCGCAAAAAGAGAAUAUUGGAACUCAGAUUUUGAUUGCACAUAAAGACGCAAGAUUCUUAAAACAAUGGCUCAAUGGUUACCGACGGUACCAACCAAGAAACUGGUAUUACAAUGCUGGUCAGUUCCCCGCUGAAGUCCUUUCAAAGAAACCUGAGCUGGCUCAUAGAGAAGAUACCCUGUUGGGUGUUCAGAAUUUGAUAGAAAAAUUAUAUGUAGCUGAUGAAUGGAGCAGUUGGAGGAACUUUUACUCUCUUCACUUGCUUAGCCGCCACCAUUCAGAUCCAGACAAGUUGGAUGAGACCUCCGUCAAAUUGUAUAAACACCCUUUUGGUGAAAUAGCAUCAUGGCUCCUAUAUACCGUGGAGCCACCUCUAGUUAUCGAUGGCUUCAAACGCUGGAAAUUUUAAGAUCAUCCGCGGAGAAGGUGGGCUGAAACGGAGUAAGAAUGUUCGAUAUUCCUAAUUGGUCAGAGGUAUGUUUCUGUACUUGGCGUUUUUCUCUCCCUUUCUUUCAAUUUUUUUCUUCAUUUCUUCAUUGUGUUUUUUUUUAUUUUAUUUUUUUUUACAUUCAGUGCCAACUGCUUCUUUCAAACCAAUUCAUUUUUCUAUAACUUGUAUUCAAUCCAUUGCUCUAUCCCGGCCGAUUUGCAAAAGAACGGAUUUAUGCUAAAAGGAACUAUGCCUCACGCAAACCCUAUGCACAUAGUCCCUUUCAGCAUAAACACGUCCAAAUCUCUUCCAUAUUAUGAGUAAUCGCGUGUGUGUUCUUCCGUCAGAUCCUGAAGGCUAGUGCUAGUAGCCUCAUUUUCAGAUUGUUUUCCUCUUAGUAUUAUGUUCACCAAGAUCGCAUUUGGUAAAAAGGAUCUUAAACCAUCAAAGCAAGGGCAAUUUCUAAAAUUCUCACUUCAAGUUUUUUUCACGAUGGUACGCGGUGAAAGUCUCCUCAAAUUGCCUCUUAUGACAAUUGGGGCAUCCCUUAAAAAGAAGCUGUUGAAGGGGCGAUUAUGAAUACGACCCUGGGUCAAGUAGCGCCGUGAUAAAGAAGAACGCCAUAUGAACAUUCGAGAGUUGCCAAAGUGCCUCCGAUAAAAUGUUUGUUUUUGGGGGGGAGUUGUAAUAAUCUCUUAAAAUUUUCAGAUUAUUUAGAUAUGAUAGCUAAUCGAACUCUCUGAAAAUGUGGAUGAAAAAUCUUCACAUACCUCCCGGAAAAUUCGUUUAAAGGAGCGAUUAUGAAUGCAACCCUAUGUCAAAUACUGCCUUGCUAAGGAAGAACGCCAUGUGAAUAUUCGGGAGUUGCCGAAAUGCCUCCGAUAAAAUGUUUGUUCUUUAGGAAAGUUGUGAAUUUUUCAUAAAAUUGUCUGAUAGCUAAUCAAAUUCUCUGAAAAUCUAGAGGAAAAUCUUCACAUGUUUCCCGGAAAAUUCGUAUUUUAUGAAACGAAACUUAGUAACGCCUGAAGGCUCAUACAGCGUUCUUCCUUAGCACAGCAGAUUAAUGCUUUCAUACAGCGGGUAACUCUGCCGUGCUAAGGAAUAACGCCGUAUGAACCAUCAGCCGUUGCCACAUUUUCUUUGACAAAACACAAUUUUUGUGAAAAUUCGCUAGUAUUUUUCUUUCGAUUUUUUAGGGAAUUUCGUUCGCACUUUAAUCUAAAACAUCCGAAAACUUCAAGGAAAAAUACUCCUAACGUUCUUCAAAAAUAAAUAUUUGCCGAGAGGAAAUUUGGCAACGCGUGAAGGCUCAUACGGCGUUUUCCCUUAGCACGGCAGAAUAAUGCUUUCAUAUAGCGCGCAACUCUGCCGUGCUAAGGAAGAACGCCGUAUGGACCUUCAGCUCUUGCCAAAUUUUCUUUGACAAAAACACAAUAUUUUGGGAAAAUUCGCAAGUAGUUUUCUUUCGAUUUUUCAAAGAA
rnacentral:lncRNA from 1 species